rnacentral:rRNA from 1 species
AUGGCGGCGCCCAAGAGCCCAGGGAUCUCGACGAUCUCGACCUGCACCCCGGAGAAGGCGCGGGGCGACCACGUGUUCAAGAUCGAAGGCUACAGCCUGUGGAAGGGCCUCGGCGUCGGCAAGGUCAUCCAGUCCGCCCCCUUCGCCGUCGGCGGCUACGACUGGCGCCUCAGCUACUACCCAGACGGCUACACGGAGGGCAGCAAGGACCACGUCGCCGUCUUCCUCGAGCUCCUGAGCAAGGACGCGGAGGUGAGGGCGCUGUACCAUCUGAUGCUGAUCGAGCAGGCCGCACGGACGUCGCCAGCGCAAUUCACAUGGCCAAAACCUACGGCGCCUGUGGUGUUCAGCAACCCCUCUAGUGAUGCCUUAUCCUGCUUGGACCAUUCCAUGUUCGUGAGGAGGAGCCAGAUCGAAGGGUCGGCGUACUUGUACAUCCCCGACGACAUCCUUCUCAUUAAGUGUGACAUCACCGUUAUCAAGUUGAAGGAGGCACAGAUGCGGAAGAUCGACAUGAGCUUUAAUAUCGAAGUGCCGCCUUCAGACUUGUUGCACAAUCUUAGAAGUUUGAUGGAUGCGAGGGAGGAAUCGGAUGUGUCUUUCAAGGUCAAAGAUGAGGUAUUCACUGCCCAUAAGGUCGUCCUCGCAAUGCGAUCGCCGGUAUUCAAGGCGGAGCUCUACGGGCCGAUGAGGGAUAAGUGUGGGCAGGGGCAGAGCAUAACCAUUAAAGACAUGGAGCCCGCUGUUUUCAAAGCACUGCUCCACUUCAUCUAUACAGAUGAGUUGCCUCCCUUGGACGACCUUCAUGAUGAUGAUGAAGAAAUGGUCAGGCAUUUGCUCGUGGCUGCGGAUAGGUAUGUCAUGGAAAGGAUGAAGUUGAUGUAUGAGAGAAAACUUUCUGAGUUUCUUGAUGCCAAGACUGUGGCGGACACGUUAGCUCUUGCAGACCAGCAUCAUUGCAGCAAGCUCAAAGAGGCUUGCAUUGGAUUUAUCAACUCUUUGGAUAGAAUAGAUGAUGUGAUGGACAGUGUAGGGUAUGAGCACCUGAAAAAAGCAUGCCCUACUAUCUUUAUUGAUAUAUGGGAGAAAGCUGCCAAGCGCAAAGUAUAG